rnacentral:rRNA from 1 species
CCUACGGGUGGCAGCAGUGAGGAAUAUUGGUCAAUGGACGAGAGUCUGAACCAGCCAAGUAGCGUGAAGGAUGACUGCCCUAUGGGUUGUAAACUUCUUUUAUAUGGGAAUAAAAUGUUCCACGUGUGGGAUUUUGUAUGUACCAUAUGAAUAAGGAUCGGCUAACUCCGUGCCAGCAGCAGCGGUAAUACGGAGGAUCCGAGCGUUAUCCGGAUUUAUUGGGUUUAAAGGGAGCGUAGGUGGAUUGUUAAGUCAGUUGUGAAAGUUUGCGGCUCAACCGUAAAAUUGCAGUUGAAACUGGCAGUCUUGAGUACAGUAGAGGUGGGCGGAAUUCGUGGUGUAGCGGUGAAAUGCUUAGAUAUCACGAAGAACUCCGAUUGCGAAGGCAGUUCACUGGACUGCAACUGACACUGAGGCUCGAAAGUGUGGGUAUCAAACAGGAGUAGAUACCCGAGUAGUC